GAAGGAGGGCGCAAGCGUUAUUCGGAAUUAUUGGGCGUAAAGAGCGUGUAGGCGGCCGGUUAAGUCAGGUGUGAAAGCCCGGGGCUCAACCUCGGAAGUGCACUUGAAACUGGUCGGCUUGAGUUCGGGAGAGGGAAGCGGAAUUCCGGGUGUAGAGGUGAAAUUCGUAGAUAUCCGGAGGAACAUCGGUGGCGAAGGCGGCUUCCUGGACCGAAACUGACGCUGAGACGCGAAAGCGUGGGGAGCAAACAGG
rnacentral:rRNA from 1 species